UGAACGCUGGCGGCAUGCCUUACACAUGCAAGUCGAACGGCAGCACGGGUGCUUGCACCUGGUGGCGAGUGGCGAACGGGUGAGUAAUAUAUCGGAACGUACCUUAUUGUGGGGGAUAACGCAGCGAAAGCUGUGCUAAUACCGCAUAAUCCCUUAGGGGGAAAGCGGGGGACCGUAAGGCCUCGCGCAAUUAGAGCGGCCGAUACCUGAUUAGCUAGUUGGUGAGGUAAAGGCUCACCAAGGCGACGAUCAGUAGCUGGUCUGAGAGGACGAUCAGCCACACUGGGACUGAGACACGGCCCAGACUCCUACGGGAGGCAGCAGUGGGGAAUUUUGGACAAUGGGGGCAACCCUGAUCCAGCAAUGCCGCGUGAGUGAAGAAGGCCUCGGUUGUAAGCUCUUUGUCAGGAGAACAGCAGCUCUAACACAGUAUGCGAAUGACGGUACCUGAAGAAUAAGCACGGCUAACUACGUG
rnacentral:rRNA from 1 species